CAAUAGCGUAUAUUAAAGUUGUUGCAGUUAAAAAGCUCGUAGUUGGAUUUCUGGAUGGAGCGACCGGUCGGGCAUUAAUUUGUCUGCACUGGAGUCGGUUCCGUCCAUCCUCUUGGAAAGUGCGUGGGGCAUUAAGUUGUCUGGCGUAUGAUCCAAGUCGUUUACUGUGAGAAAAUUAGAGUGUUUAAAGCAGGCCUUCGCCUUGAAUACAUUAGCAUGGAAUAAUAAGAUAGGACUUUGGUCUAUUUUGUUGGUUUGCAGACCGAAGUAAUGAUUAAUAGGGAUAGUUGGGGGUAUUUAUAUUCCGAUGUCAGAGGUGAAAUUCUUAGAUUUUCGGAAGAUAAACUUAUGCGAAAGCAUUUACCAAGGAUGUUUUCAUUAA
rnacentral:rRNA from 1 species